UUGUGUUUUUAUCCCUUGCUCUUAAACCAAGAAAAAAUAAACAGAUGGUGUAUUAUUUAAAUCUGAGCCAUAAAUAUCUCCAUUCAGCUUAAUGGAAUGUUAAAUAUCUUUACAAUGUUAACUAUUUGGUAUAUGCAAGAUGAUUAUGAACAAGAUCUAAUUCCUGCCCUCAGAAUGCACAUAAUCAGUAAUGAGAAAUUUCACUUAUGAAAUAAUGUGAAUUAUAUCAGUAAUUCACUUUGCUUCAAAGUUCAGUAUAUAUAAAAUGUAAGCAAGCCAGGUUGUGUAUAAUGUUUUAUAUUCCCAUUGAGACUCUAGAGUUAAACUGUUCAAUAUGUUCAUCACUAACCAUAUGUGACUAGUGAAUGAAAAUUACAUACAGUGAAAAAUUUAAUGCACAAGUUAGGUUUCAAGUGUUGAGUAGCCUCAUGUGGCUGGUGACUAGAGUAUCGCCCAGCAUAAAUAUUAGAUAUUACUAGUUUUGCAGAAAUCCCCACUUGGAAAUAGUGUUCUAGAGGUGUAUCAACACUUUAAUUGUGUCAGUCGUAUGAGUGGCCUGUCAUUGAUCCAUGCCACCAAACUUCAUUAAAUGCUUGCCGUGGUGGCUGGUGCUGUCAACUUGAUAGAACUAGAGUCACCUGGGAGAUGGGCCUCUAGGUGUGCUUGUGGGGAAUUAUCUGGGUUAUGUUAAUUGAGAUGGGAAGACCUGCCCACUGUGGGUGUCACCAUUCCCUGACUGGCAUCCUGGGCUGUGAAUGAAUGAAGGGGACUGAGCAACAUGCAUGAGUUCAUUAUUCUCUUCUUCAGGAUGCAGAUGCCAUGUGACCAGUUGCUUCAAGGUUCUGCUGCCUGGACUUCCCCUCCAGGACGGACUGUACUCAGAAUGAUGGGCUAAAAUAAACUCCUUGAUUUUGUCAGGGUGUUUUACUACAGCAACAGAAAAAGAAACUUAAGACAGAAAUUGGUACCAGAAGUGGGGUCGUUGCUGAACCUGACUAUGCAGUUCUUAGGCCUUUGGAACUGGUUUUCAUGAGGAGCUGAAAGACUUUGGAACUCCAGGCUAAAAAAAGGCCCUUGAGUACUGCAAGCAGAGCAAAAUGGGACGUUUAAAAUGGAAGCUUGAAAGACCAGAAUGCUGAGAGAAAUGUGUAUAGUGGAGGGCUGGCUCGUGAGGCUUGACAGGGAGAACAAGAACACUAUCAGGAACUGUGCUGGGGCCAUUAGUGUGAUAUUUGGGGCCAGAAUCUGAUUUUAUUCUGCCUGUGUCUUGAGAACUUAAGUGAAGUUGAUUUUGAAAUUAAUGAAAUAAUUAAUUUGUUUGGCAGAGAGGAUUUCAAGACAGUAGAGUGUAGGCCAGUGCUGAGAAAGUAGCUGUCGUUGUUAAAACGAUCAUUCCUGUUAAAAACAAACUUUAGUGAAGGUGUUGUGAGGGCAAAAUCCCACUUUUUGGUGACGUCAUCUUGUAAAGAUCCAGGUUUAUUUAAGAGAAGAAAGCCUAAACCGAAGGAAUUCCCUGCUCCUCGAAAGCAGCUGCCCAGGAAAAUGUUCCCCCAGGGUCAGCACACAGAAACUGAUGCAUCCUAGGGGACCAGGCUCUCUGCACAGCUGGCAGCAAGCUUGACAAGAUCACAUCUAUAGUACUGGUGUUGAAGGCAUGAAAGAUGUAAGAUUGAGGGAAUCCUGGUGAAAAGCUGAGGCCAGGCAAUGUGUGUCAGGGUCGGAGUCCCUACAGAGAGGUCCUGAGAGGAGAUUGUACGAAGCUGUAACAGUGAAGGCUAAAAGUCAUGGAGGCCCCAGGAUGUCGGAUCUGCCAGAACCCUGGACCUCUGCCAGGCAAGCUGAAUUCUAUGUGGAACAGUUAACUCAAAAGAGUGAGAUGUGGUAUAGGCAGCAGAGCUGUAAGAGUGAGGUUUCCUGAGCGCUUUGGAGCCUAGCCAAUUUCGUCUUGAGUCCUAGGUGCCAGAUAAGGAGCUAUAGGAUUUGGUGUUUGCCCUGCAGGGUUAUGGUUUUGCUUUGGUGUGACUGUUUCUUGCUGUGCCCUGGUUCUUCCACUUUGGAAUAGGAAUGUUUACUCUAUGCCAUUAUAUUUUUGAAGUUUGUAAGCUUAUUUUUGAUUUUAUAGGAGCUCACAGUUAAGAGACUUUGGACUGUUAAUAACUAUGAGUACUUUUAAAGUUGGAAUGUAUUUUACAUUCUGAGAUAACAUGAGACUGAGGGAAAAGGAAUGGAAAGUUAUGGCUUAAAAGAACUGUGUUUUAAAAAAAAAAGUGCUGUGUUUAAGUGUCAAGCUGAUAAGGGGUAGAGUUGUGAUGGACAGUGUUGUCAACCUGACAGACUCUAGAGUCACCUGGGAGAUGGGCCUGGGUGUGCCUGUGGGGAUAUCUGUGUUACGUUAACUGAGCUGCUCACGGUGGGUACCACAUUCCUUGGUUGGCAUCCUAGACUGUGUAAUUGGAGAAAGGAAACUGAGCAACAUUCCUGCAUUCAUUGUUGUCUUCUUCCGGCUGCAGAUGUAGUAUGACCAGAGCUGCUUCAAGCUCCUGCUGCCUUGAACUCCCCUCCGUGGAGAACUGUGGGCAAAAACCCCUCUUCCUUCUUGAAGUUGCUUCUCUUCGGGCAUUUUAUCGCAGCAGCCAAGAAAGAAACACUGUGUGGCUUGUGCUUUGCUAGAGGACGCACUUCAAAACCAGAGUCUUUUCUUUCUCCACACUGAAGAUAGCCUGCCACAGGGGAAGCACCCACAUUCCCAGCUGCUUGGGAAGCUGUGUCAGGAGGAUCACUCGAGGCUUGGCAUUGGUCAACUGGUGACAGAGUCAAAUAUUGCUUCCUAUUAAAAAACAAAAACGUA